UCCCUGAUAGCUCAGUUGGUAAAGAAUCUGCCUGCAAUCCGGGAGACCCUGGUUUGAUUCCUGGUUUGGGAA
rnacentral:tRNA from 1 species